CGUGCCAGCAGCCGCGGUAAUACGGAGGAUCCAAGCGUUAUCCGGAAUCAUUGGGUUUAAAGGGUCCGUAGGCGGUCUUAUAAGUCAGUGGUGAAAUCUCCCCGCUCAACGGGGAAACGGCCAUUGAUACUGUAGGACUUGAAUUAUUAGGAAGUAACUAGAAUAUGUAGUGUAGCGGUGAAAUGCUUAGAGAUUACAUGGAAUACCAAUUGCGAAGGCAGGUUACUACUAAUGGAUUGACGCUGAUGGACGAAAGCGUGGGUAGCGAACAGGAUUAGAUACCCUGGUAGUCCACGCCGUAAACGAUGGAUACUAGCUGUUGGGAGCGAUCUCAGUGGCUAAGCGAAAGUGAUAAGUAUCCCACCUGGGGAGUACGUUCGCAAGAAUGAAACUCAAAGGAAUUGACGGGGGCCCGCACAAGCGGUGGAGCAUGUGGUUUAAUUCGAUGAUACGCGAGGAACCUUACCAAGGCUUAAAUGUAGAUUGACCGGUUUGGAAACAGACUUUUCGCAAGACAAUUUACAAGGUGCUGCAUGGUUGUCGUCAGCUCGUGCCGUGAGGUGUCAGGUUAAGUCCUAUAACGAGCGCAACCCCUGUUGUU
rnacentral:rRNA from 1 species